rnacentral:lncRNA from 1 species
UUAAAACUAUAUAUAUUUACAAGGUAAUGAGAAAUUGUAAUGAAUGAUUACUGUCGGUGCUACAUUCCAUCGCAUUUUGAAAUCUCCAUCAGGAUGAAAUGUCAAAGCAACACACCACCAUGCAUCAAUGAGUUGUUAUUAGUUGGAUGGAUUAUUCCUAAGUACUUUUUUUUUUUUUAAUAGUCCUAAUCAAGAAUUUUUUUUUUUUUUUUGGCAAAGUCCUAAUCAUUUUAACAAAUAAAAAAACCUAAGAAAGUGGCCACUUAAUUGGAAACAAAAUUCAAUCUCUCAAUGGAGUAAUGUCUUCACAUGUAUGAGUAAAUUCUCUACCUAGAUGGAGUUAUCUCUUUGUAGACCGCACUUGAAAUCAAUUCGUCAAAUUCCAACCAACUCAUCCAAUUUUUA